rnacentral:rRNA from 1 species
UGGGGAAUAUUGGACAAUGGGCGAAAGCCUGAUCCAGCCAUGCCGCGUGUGUGAAGAAGGUCUUCGGAUUGUAAAGCACUUUAAGUUGGGAGGAAGGGCAGUAAGCGAAUACCUUGCUGUCUUGACGUUACCGACAGAAUAAGCACCGGCUAACUCUGUGCCAGCAGCCGCGGUAAUACAGAGGGUGCAAGCGUUAAUCGGAAUUACUGGGCGUAAAGCGCGCGUAGGUGGUUCGUUAAGUUGAAUGUGAAAGCCCCGGGCUCAACCUGGGAACUGCAUCCAAAACUGGCGAGCUAGAGUAGGGCAGAGGGUGGUGGAAUUUCCUGUGUAGCGGUGAAAUGCGUAGAUAUAGGAAGGAACACCAGUGGCGAAGGCGACCACCUGGGCUCAUACUGACACUGAGGUGCGAAAGCGUGGGGAGCAAACAGG